rnacentral:rRNA from 1 species
UACGUAGGGAGCAAGCGUUGUCCGGAAUUCCUGGGCGUAAAGCGUGCGCAGGCGGUUUGCUAAGACAGGUGUGAAAUCCCCGGGCUUAACCUGGGAACUGCGCUUGUUACUGGCAAGCUGGAGUGUGGCAGAGGGGGGUGGAAUUCCACGUGUAGCAGUGAAAUGCGUAGAGAUGUGGAGGAACACCGAUGGCGAAGGCAGCCCCCUGGGCUAACACUGACGCUCAUGCACGAAAGCGUGGGGAGCAAACAGG